rnacentral:misc_RNA from 1 species
UUCAAUUUAAUAUAAAAUCGAACCAGCUGAUUCUAGUUCAAUUCAAUAUCAAUUUUGGUCAAUCAGAUUUUGAUCAGUUCACUCUUAUUUCAGUUCUGGUCUGAACCAACCCAGCUCCAAUUCCAAACCAGACCGCAGCCAGAUUUAACUACAAUAAAUACACAAUCAUUUUCCAUUCACCAAUAAGUUAUUGCGCUAAUACGUUAUAGAAGGGUAUUGCAUCAGUCCCAACAAAUUACAAGAGGAGCAGAAAAAGUAGGGAGUUUAGGGUUCAUACAAAUGCCAAUCACCAUCAGAACAAGUAACAAAAAGAUUGGCUAUUUGCUUCCCAUUUUGUGAACCUAUAAUGCACAAGCCCUGUCCAUACGGCACAAUCUUGUAUUAUUCAUCCUUGAUGGGAAUCAUUCCUGCUGUUUCAGAUUAGCAAGCUCAUCCAAAACACCUUUGACAGGCUCUGUAAGCAUGUUUUUCUUUGACUAGAAGGAAAGAUGAGAAAUAAAUAUAUUAUAUUAAAGAAAGAAAAAUCAAGAACACAUUACACAAUUCAAGGCAGCUUUGCAACCUCAAAUAGCAGCUUAAAGAAAGCAAUACAUGGGACGCAAAAUUAUGAUAAUCAGACAAGGAAUAAUGACUUUUUGAGUGCCUAAUCUUUUGGAAUUUUAUUUGUCAGCCUGAAUUAAUUUUCUGUAAUUGAGCGAUUGCAUGGAACAGAAAAGAAAAAAAAAAUUGCAACCAAAUUCCUUGCAAUUUGCAAUUUUUUCAGUGACAGAGUACCAUAAUGGAUUAAAAUAACAAAAUAAUUAGCUUCUUUUGCCAUAUCAACAUAGAUAAAAGAAGACGAACUAUUUUAAUUAAAAAGGAAAGUCAUUUAUGUAAUCCUCACCAGAAAUCUCAUCACCUCCAUCCAUUUCCUUCCUACUUUACUCUUUUUCUAACCCUAAAUCCAAUUAAAAUAAUUCCUUUUUUCAAAAUGGGUUAUGAAUGUUAUAUGUUUUAAGACAAAGACAAAGUUGGAAUUCUCUUUUUUUUUCAAAUUUCUUAAAUUACAAUCUUCUGCAAGCAUGAGGGUCAAAAUGACAACAGAUUAUACACAUACACACUUUUUAUGAACCUGCUAUCAUGACAUGUAAAUCCUUUUUUAGCACUAUUUUAAUCCAUAAUGGCACUUCUAAUCACUAGAAAAGUGAAAAAAUGCUUGACCACAAAUUUCUCUAUUCAAACACUUAAUUGCAUAAAAAUAUAGUUUAGGUACUCAAAUAGAAAAUCUCAAAAAAAAAAGGUAUUCAAAAUGCCACAAUUCCAUUCAACGAUCAAUAACAUAAGAAUAACUUUAUCACCUCCAACUUAACUCUUCCAUUAAAGGCACAAACCUGAAAUAGCAUGUGCACAUGCACAUAGAGGGGGGGGGGGGGG